UCUGUGGUCACAGCAUUGUGAUUGAUGGAAAAGAGUUUUCAUAGGGAUCACAGUUGGACUUGAGCUGAUCGAAUCUAUCAUAUGACUGAUGAUGAGGUUUGAUGAUUUAUUUAUGACCUGCCAUCUACUCGAGAUUCACGAUAGAGGAAUAGAAUCACACGUGAACUACAUUUUGAGGUUCUUUUUCGAUUCUACUGGAUUGCUACUACAUACUAUUAGAUGUCACUGAUGGAUUGUGAGA
rnacentral:lncRNA from 1 species